rnacentral:tRNA from 1 species
AGCAAAAUGACUGAGUUAAGUGGUAGAUUGUAAAUCUAUUUAAGGCGUACGGCCUUUUGCUA